GGCUGUGUAGUUCAUUCAGUGGUCAGAGCACCAGUCGUAGUAUGUCUGGGGGUCUUGGGUUCAAUCCACAAAUUGGCCA